GGAGCCCGAAGUCCCUCCACAAGCUUGGCUGUGAUCCUUCUAAGCUUUCUUCAAAUGGCAAUCUGUGGGCUAUGGAAAGUUUGUUCAACUGUCUCUGCUCCCAGCCUCCUCUGUUCAGGGCUGUCUGACAGCUGUUUGGCCCAAACCAGUCUGGAGAGAGAGUACUGGGGACACCAAUGUGAUGGCUGCAUGAGGACUUGGAAGGUCAUCGUCCAUCAUGAGAUAAGUAAAGGGGAACCCUGUAUUUCUCCCUCUCCUUUAAGAUAUUGGGGCAGGGAAAAAUCUUAAGUAUCAUCUUGUUCUCUCCCAUAUUUUAUAAUGAAGAAACUGAGGCCUGAAGAAGUAGAGAUUUGUGCAAAGUUGGGGUCAAUUCAUAGAGGAGUCAGAGGAUGAUCAUAGUCAUCAACUUCUCUAUUACAUUCUGUGGAUGUUGAUUUAAAAUGAUUUUGUUCAGCCUCUUCCCACCUGUGUAACACUAAGGUGGUCAUAUAACCUCAUUAGGCAUACAUGACCUUUAAAUUUUUAGGUGUCCCUUAAAUUUAAAAUGAAGAUAAUAACUGAAUCUACUUCAUGAGGUAAUAGAAUGAAAUAGGUACUACCUUGUAAAGAACUUAGCAUAGGACCUGACACUUAGCAACUGUUCUGUAAACAUUCCUAAUCAUUACCAGUGUUAUUGCAACCACUGGGGGCUUUGGAAAACAGGGUCUAUAUGAAUGCACUGGCAUGUGUCCAUGCCCUUCCCUGGGAAGCUUGCCAUCACCCACUGCCCUUCUUCAGAUAAGUGUCAAUGGCUCUAAGAUGCUGCUCAGGUAGCACCUCCUCAAGACACUUUCUUUGCAUCUCCAGCUUGGGAUACUUGUCUGCUCCACAUCAGUGUCUCCAUAGCAUCUAGGACAGCCACAUUAUGAAUCAUUCACAAUGAUUUUCUUCUUUUAUUGACUUGGCAUCUCCACCACCACUAAGCUGGAGAAGGGCAGAGGUGGUGUUUUAUUUGUCUCUGCACGUUAGUGUCUAAGCAUGCCACAGAGAGUACAGUAUGAAAUGUCUGUUGACUAUAGGAGGGAAAAAAAGAAAAAAUGGAGGAGCGGAGGAAGGGAGAAAGACAACAAGCAGAUACUAUAUUAAAGAGUGGUGGUAUCAAUGCAUUUUAACUAUCUAGCUUCCUUCUUCUAGCCAAGGGAGGCUUACCUCCCUAGUAUUGUACCUUUUCCUUACCUAGCCUUCUAAGACCCUAUUCCAACCCUGAGGUUGUCUUUAUACAUAUCAAAGCUGUAAUCAAACAGUGAGGCAAAUACAACAUUGUCAUAAUCACACCUACCCUCUCAGAUGGCAAGAUGCUUUUAAAUUAAUCACCCCACAAACACUCUUUGAAGGAGGGGGUAGUAGCAUGUUUUUAGGUGAAAAAAGAAACUGGACAGAAAGCAGAUGAACUGGUCUGAAAUCCACAUCUCCUGGGCCACAGGUCAAUGCACUUAAUGUCUUCACCAUACUACUUUCUUUCUCCUGUGGACUGCUCCACAGCCUCAAUUCUACGCUAUUUUGCAAACCUCAAGCCAAUAAUAAUGGAACAACUAACUCUGUAGUCUUGACAUCAAUCUCAUCAAAGCUCCCACCCAGCAUUCUCUCUUUCCAUUCUAAAAGUCAAAGUGUUUUCCUGCUCACAACAACAGAACAGAAUUAUUAAUGAGAGAAAAUUGAGUUUGCCUACUCCUUGUAACAACCCUCUGCCCCAGUUCCUGGGAACAUAUUUUUGGACUAAAUCUGCUAUCAAAACACAGAAAUUAGUCUCCAAUUUUGGACAUCAAACUCAGUUAUCUUUUUUGUUAUGAAGGGAAAUUAGUAACAAUUCAUUCUGGUUGGAAGCCAAGCUAAUAUCUUAGCACAGAGUGUCAUUAAAAAUCACAGUCCCACUGGGUGCUGUGGUAUCUUUAAAAGCUUGAACAUAUUCAGCUGCUUAGAAUGGUUUUUCUGGGUUUGUUCUCCCCCAAGCCGCUUGUCACUUUAACCUCAGGAUCAGUUAAUAUUUAAGGCAGAAAAUGGCUUGAAGCAUCAUUUUUUUCUUCCAUGGUUUUGUGGAUUUAGACUUUCCUAAUGAAGAGAUUUGGAAAAAAAAAAAAAAAAGGAAUUUUACUCUAAGGGGUGUCCACAGCUCCUAGCCAUUGCUAAGCAAGUUGGCCAUUAAAUAGAAGAAAAAGAAGAAGAAAAAAGUUUUCACAGUUUAUAAUUAUAUUACCGAUUUCAUUACAGAUCUCAUUUUAAUUCUGACUGAAAUCUUGCCUUGCCUUCUCCCUGUACUCUCUCACGUACAGUUAUUAAGUCUAGGUUGGAGUUCAAGCUAUUCUUCCUGAUUUCAGCAUAUUAAUAUGGUUUAUUGGUAUUUCAUUGCCACCUCCCCUAUGGGGGUUCUGAAUCUCAGCUCAAUUUAUAUUUCCCCUCUUUCUAGGCUCCAGCAUGAAGGUUGUUUCAUUUUGAUGUUGAGAAGGCAUGUGUGAAUUUGAUUGGAGUUUAUUUUGGGGGAUGGGAGCAACAUCCUUGGGGAGUGAAAUCAAUCACAGAAGAAUAGGCAGCCUCAGACCUCCUGCACUGUCAUUCUUUAGGAUGUAUCUUCCUAGAUCAUCUGGGUCCACCUGUCGGUCCUCCCUUACUUCAUUUUUUACAGACACAGUUUCUUAUAUGCCUAUUGAGUCAGAACCUCUAUUAGUCAUCACAAUAAGUCAGAACGUGAAUAAGCUGUGGUCCUUGACCUUGAAAAAAUUCAAGUCUAACCCCUGAAAUAACUUUAAAAAAAUAUAAAAAACCCAGUGAAAGCUUUUUAGGGGCAUCAAGUACGUUUUGAACCCUGUCCAAGGUUCUGAAUACAACAUGCAAAACAAAUACAAUCUUUAUCCUUAUGAAACUUGAAACCUAGUGAGAACACUAACUAGAUAAAUACACAAUUAUACAUUGAAAUAAGUGUAAUAAGAAAAAAGGGCAGGGUUCAAGGAGAAUGAUUAGUAAGGGAGCUAACAGAGACUGGGAAGUAAAAAAGGAAAGUCCAUUACCAUAGGGUAAAUGAGAGAAACUGGAGAUAAGGGAAGAAGUUUUCAGGCAAAGAAAAAAACAUGUGCAAAGGUCCUGAGGCAGGAGGCAACAGAGAAAUUUAAGGAACCAAUAUAGGGAGAGGUAGUGUGAGGUAAGACUGAAAAGGCAGGCAAGGGCCUGACAUUGCAAGGAUGCAAAGACCAUGAUAAGAACUUCAGUCUUCAAAACAAGUAAAAAAAAAACAAUAUACAGUUUUAUGGAAAGUAUGAUAUGUAUACAAUACAUUUAUGCAAUGUAUUGAUAUUUUUAAUUGUAAAAGAUUGCUGUGUUUGCACUAUUUUUUUUUUUUUUGAGACAGAGUCUCGCUCUGUCGCCAGGCGCCAGGCUGGAGUGCAAUGGCACAAUCUCGGCUCACUGCAACCUCCGCCUCCUGGGUUCAAGCAAUUCUCCUGCCUCAGCCUCCUGAGUAGCUGGGAUUACAGGCAUGUGCCACCACGCCCAGCUAAUUUUUGUAUUUUUAGUAGAGACAGGGUUUCACCACGUUGGCCAGGAUGGUUUCGAUCUCCUGACCUUGUGAUCUGCCCGCCUCAGCCUUCCAAAGUGCUGGGAUUACAGGCAUGAGCCACUGUGCCUGGCCGUGUUUGCACUAUUGAGAAAAGACAGUAGAGAGGCUAGAUUUAAAGCAGUAGGCCAGUUUGUAGGACUGUGGCAGUUGUCUCCAUGACACAUAUGUAACAGUAAUAGUCACAGGAGUUAGACUGAAGUCUUUAGAAAGGCAUAUGUAGUUCUAGGUAAUGUAUAUGAAAGGAGACGAUUUUUGUCUCUGGUGACUCAUUGAAGAAGGUUUGCUAGAGGAGGGAGAAAAAUAAGUUAUGCCAUAGAGAUAGGUGAGAUUGACAUAUAUGCAAAUAUAUGAUGGAGAGGAAUGUAUAAGCAAAGGCAUAUAGAAAGGCAGGUACCAGAUAAGAUAGUCUACUUGUCUAAAAACAGCAUCUAAUGAGUUAAUGAGGAAACAGACAGAAGGCAUAUUGUAUACAACUUCCAUUCAUGAGCAUGUUCCACAGUAUUAAAAGACCUGCAGUCAAUACUGAGCAUUUUAAAACAAAGCUUGGGAUGAUUUCAGAGAGCAGAACGUCCAAGGAACUACUCUUUUUAAAUAAAUUGCUUGGCAGUUUGUGGCCAAGGAUCCACUUUCAAUGUGGUAUAAUUUUCCCUUCUAAGAAUUGAAAAUACUCUUUCCUUGUAUUAAAAUCGCUGCAAACUAGUUCUCAAGCCAAUUAUGGACCUCAUUCUUCUCUAACAGCAUGAAGCCAUGCAUUAGCUCACUCUUUUGGGAUGGGAGACAUCAAGUAGGGAAAAAAGCAAAUAAACGUAGGCACACGUUAUUGUACACAAUUUUAUGCUCAAAACCAGAUACAUGUGUGGCAUAUUAGUGAACUAUGCCGUCCCAAAAUGUGGGCAUUUAUACUUGAUGAUUUCACGGGCUAAGAAGGAAUACUCAGAGCCCAAAUACCUCAGUCAUAGGGAACAGAAAAGACUUGGCUAUCAACUUAAGUCAAUCUAAAAGAUGAUGUUAACCAUUUAAAUUAACUUGAAUAAAAAAAAUUUUAGCAUAGGUAUUUUAAUGUAACAAUCAUAUCAAUAUAUAAAAUUGUGUGUGUGUGUCUGAGACAGAGAGAGAGAGAGAGAAAGACAGAGAGAGAGAGAGAGAGAGAGAGAGAGAGAGAGAGAGAGAGAGAGAGAGAGAGAGAGAGUUUAGCUAAGUAAUGUAUUCAAGAGACAGCGACAUCCCUGGUUUUUACCCAUUUCUGAGCCUAUGCAAAGCAUUCGCGACACUCUGGAUGAAGUACUAAGGUAUAAACAAACGUAUUCUAAAAGUUAUAAAAAUUAAGUGGUUUUAAAAUUUACAGUUUAAUAAGAUGGCUCCAAGACAAAAUAUCAUGUAUUCAAGCCAAACACAUCUCUUCCUUUCUCUUCUACAGCUUCAUGAAAAUGUGGUCAUCUAUUCUCAGGAGAUUUUCUAUGAUGGGGAACUCAUUACCUUGCAAUGACCCCUUCCAAUAUUAAGAAAAUAUUAUUACAACUUAUAACAUUUACAUAAUAUAUUGAGCCAUUAUUAGGUCUUAGGUACUGAGCUAAAAGCUUUAUAAGUAUUAUUUCACUUAUUCUUCACAAUAACUUUAUGAGAUAAGUACUGCUAUUAUUCCCAAUUUAUAGAUAAUGUAACUGAAGCUGAAAAUGUUUAAGUAACUAUCACAAGUCACACAGUCAACAGCAGAGGAAGAUGUUUCCAAACUAGGGUUCAUCUUCUCCCAUUCCUGACCACACUCAUCACUCGUAUAACUCUCUAGCUGUGCUUCCUUAAAUCUUCCAGAACCAGCCUGCUCUCUUCAAAAAAAUUAAUAAUUAUCCUGAUCUCCUCUCUGGAAGCUUAGAAUGUAGAAGAAUCUUAGACUGGGGGCUCAGGUAGACUUAGGUUUUCAUACCACGUCAUCUGUAUGUUAAUCUAAUAAAGAUCCCUGAGCCCCACUUUUCAAGUAUGCAAAUGAGGAUACUAAAUCCCAACUCUCAGUUUUGCUAUGAGAACUGAAUGAAGAGUCCUAUGUAAAGUGUUUUGUAUGCUGCUCAAUAGAUAACAGACAUACUCAAUAAUAGUAAGUUCCCUUCCUGUCUAGGUUCCUUCAACUCUUGUUAUUGAAUGUCUUCCAUCUUUUCCUUAAGAGGCCAUUGGGUAUCUACAGUGCUUUCUCAAUAUUUUAACUGCCAAAUCCUCUCACUUGAAUAACUUCCAAUGUAUAACAACUCUUGGAACAAAACAGAGAACUCUAGGUGGAAUGUUACCUGCCUACACUGGAGAAGAACCAUCUUACCUACUUCACCUAAAAAGCUUCUUCCUUUAAAAGCAGACUCUUCUACUGGCUGACCACAUUGGAUCCUUCUCUACUCCUACAGAAGACUGGAUUCUACUCCUUUCGCAUCCCAGUUACUAUAUCUGCCAAAAAUGGAUAAUAAAGACCACUUUGGAGAGCUGUUGGAGGAAUGAGAUGAGCAAUUCCCAUAGACUUUCUGCCAAAGGAGGCCUUGGGAUUAUGCUGGGGAAGGAUAAAAGCAGUGCUUACUGGAUAAAGAAAAUGUGGCACAUAUACACCAUGGAAUACUAUGUGGCCAUAAAAAAGAAUGAGUUCAUGUCCUUUGCAGGGACAUGGAUGAAGCUGGAAACCAUCAUCCUCAGCAAACUAACACAGGAACAGAAAACCAAACACUACUUGUUCUCACUCGUAAGUGGGAGUUGAACAAUGAGAACACAGGGACACAGGGAGGGGAACAUCGCACACUGGGGCCUGUCAGGGGAUGGGGGGAACGGGGAGGGGAAGCAUUAGGACAAAUACCUAACACAUGCAGGGCUUAAACCCUAGAUGAUGGGUUGAUGAGUGCAGCAAACCACCAUGACACAUGUAUACCUAUGUAACAAACCUGCAUGUUUAGCACAUGUAUCCCAGAACUUAAAGUAAAAUAAAAAAUAAAAAUAAAUAAA